rnacentral:rRNA from 1 species
CCUACGGGUGGCAGCAGUGGGGAAUAUUGGGCAAUGGGCGCAAGCCUGACCCAGCAACGCCGCGUGAAGGAAGAAGGCUUUCGGGUUGUAAACUUCUUUUGACAGGGAAGAGCAGAAGACGGUACCUGUCGAAUAAGCAUCGGCUAACUCCGUGCCAGCAGCCGCGGUAAUACGGAGGAUGCGAGCGUUAUCCGGAUUUAUUGGGUUUAAAGGGUGCGUAGGCGGAUCGUUAAGUCAGUGGUCAAAUUGAGGGGCUCAACCCCUUCCCGCCAUUGAAACUGGCGUUCUUGAGUGGAAGAGAAGUGUGCGGAAUGCGUGGUGUAGCGGUGAAAUGCAUAGAUAUCACGCAGAACCCCGAUUGCGAAGGCAGCAUGCCGGCUUCCGACUGACGCUGAAGCACGAAAGCGUGGGGAUCGAACAGGAUUAGAUACCCGAGUAGUC